rnacentral:lncRNA from 1 species
UGCUAUUCGUCGGUCCUCGAUCCUUCUUCAUUUUUUGUCUGAUUGUUUCCUGUCUGCACCAGACCCACUUGAAAGGAGGAGGCGGAUGAAAGUGCAGCGCCAAUGGAUCUGCCGGCUUUCGGGACGGAUACUUGUAUACAGCCAUGAUAUUCUUCGUUACAGUAGAGGUGUGAGUACACUGAUUUGUACAAAUUAGUCAUGAAAUGGUGAGCAUCAGCCCAUCAGCGACUUACAAGUGUGGAUUACGGGUUAGUGAAGCGUUGGAAAGAAGUAGUUGGGCAAUUUGUGCAGCUAUGCCUUGUUCUAAUUUCACUGUAUGUUAGCAGAACAUAAUUUCUGUGCAGUACAUAAAAAAUGUUUAAUUGUUUGCACUGGUAAUUUGCAGGCCAAGCCGGGAGUGGAGAACACACGUUCAUGUCGUUCGGAGGGCCCUGCUCUGAUUUGGUUGCUAAGAUCAGAGGACAAUGGCUGGUACAUCACAGUACAUAGAGAGAGCCAGUUUAUCCUGCUAUACUAUCUGGGGAUGGCAUUGGCUUCUUUUUGAAAUUAUGUGAUGUUAGUUUCUUCUUCUUCUGGAAAAAUCAUUUUGUUAGACAUUACUAGACAAUUGCCCGUGCGUUGCAACGGGAAUAUGACAAUUUUUUAGAAUAUAUAGAUUGUCUAUUAUUAUAUUGAUGCGCUAAAAUUUAGCAAGUUUUUGUAUGCAAUCGCCAUGAUUUACCUGCCAUUUUAUUGUUAAGCACUUACUUGGUAAGAAUUUAAU